ACAGACUUAAGUUAAGGUAAACUAUUGGUUUUCAAAACCAAAAAUUUAGAUCUGUG
rnacentral:tRNA from 1 species